GGUUUUUUGUUGAUAUAUAAAAAAUCUGGCCUGCCCACUGAGGUAAUUUAAAGGGCUGCGGUAUAUUGACUGUACAAAGGUAGCAUAAUCAUUAGUCUUUUUAUUGAGGACUUGAAUGAAGGGUCUGACAAGUUUUAACUGUCUCUAAGGUAUUAGGUGAACUUUUUUUCUUGUGAAAAAGCAUGAAUAGAUUAGAGGGACGAGAAGACCCUAUUAAGCUUUUUUUAUUUUUAGUUAUUUUUAUGUAUAUGAAGAAUGUAAUUGAAGUAAAUUUUACUGGGGCGGUAAGUUAUAAACAUUAUUUUUAUUUAAUAUUUUAUUUGGCUUGUGUAUAGAUCCAAUGGGUUGAUAAUGAGAUAUAGCUACUAUAGGGAUAACAGCGUAAUAUUUUUUAAGAGUUCAUAUUGACAAAAGUGUUUGCGACCUCGAUGUUGGAUUAAGAAGUCUUUUAGGUGCAGAAGCCUAUUAAGAUAGUCUGUUCGACUAUUAAACUCUU
rnacentral:rRNA from 1 species